rnacentral:rRNA from 1 species
UUAAUGAGAGUUUGAUCCUGGCUCAGGACGAACGCUGGCGGCGUGCCUAAUACAUGCAAGUAGAACGCUGAAGAGAGGAGCUUGCUCUUCUUGGAUGAGUUGCGAACGGGUGAGUAACGCGUAGGUAACCUGCCUUGUAGCGGGGGAUAACUAUUGGAAACGAUAGCUAAUACCGCAUAACAAUGGAUGACACAUGUCAUUUAUUUGAAAGGGGCAAUUGCUCCACUACAAGAUGGACCUGCGUUGUAUUAGCUAGUAGGUGAGGUAAUGGCUCACCUAGGCGACGAUACAUAGCCGACCUGAGAGGGUGAUCGGCCACACUGGGACUGAGACACGGCCCAGACUCCUACGGGAGGCAGCAGUAGGGAAUCUUCGGCAAUGGGGGCAACCCUGACCGAGCAACGCCGCGUGAGUGAAGAAGGUUUUCGGAUCGUAAAGCUCUGUUGUAAGUCAAGAACGGGUGUGAGAGUGGAAAGUUCACACUGUGACGGUAGCUUACCAGAAAGGGACGGCUAACUACGUGCCAGCAGCCGCGGUAAUACGUAGGUCCCGAGCGUUGUCCGGAUUUAUUGGGCGUAAAGCGAGCGCAGGCGGUUUGAUAAGUCUGAAGUUAAAGGCUGUGGCUCAACCAUAGUUCGCUUUGGAAACUGUCAAACUUGAGUGCAGAAGGGGAGAGUGGAAUUCCAUGUGUAGCGGUGAAAUGCGUAGAUAUAUGGAGGAACACCGGUGGCGAAAGCGGCUCUCUGGUCUGUAACUGACGCUGAGGCUCGAAAGCGUGGGGAGCGAACAGGAUUAGAUACCCUGGUAGUCCACGCCGUAAACGAUGAGUGCUAGGUGUUGGAUCCUUUCCGGGAUUCAGUGCCGCAGCUAACGCAUUAAGCACUCCGCCUGGGGAGUACGACCGCAAGGUUGAAACUCAAAGGAAUUGACGGGGGCCCGCACAAGCGGUGGAGCAUGUGGUUUAAUUCGAAGCAACGCGAAGAACCUUACCAGGUCUUGACAUCCCGAUGCUAUUUCUAGAGAUAGAAAGUUACUUCGGUACAUCGGUGACAGGUGGUGCAUGGUUGUCGUCAGCUCGUGUCGUGAGAUGUUGGGUUAAGUCCCGCAACGAGCGCAACCCCUAUUGUUAGUUGCCAUCAUUCAGUUGGGCACUCUAGCGAGACUGCCGGUAAUAAACCGGAGAAAGGUGGGGAUGACGUCAAAUCAUCAUGCCCCUUAUGACCUGGGCUACACACGUGCUACAAUGGUUGGUACAACGAGUUGCGAGUCGGUGACGGCGAGCUAAUCUCUUAAAGCCAAUCUCAGUUCGGAUUGUAGGCUGCAACUCGCCUACAUGAAGUCGGAAUCGCUAGUAAUCGCGGAUCAGCACGCCGCGGUGAAUACGUUCCCGGGCCUUGUACACACCGCCCGUCACACCACGAGAGUUUGUAACACCCGAAGUCGGUGAGGUAACCUUUUGGAGCCAGCCGCCUAAGGUGGGACAGAUGAUUGGGGUGAAGUCGUAACAAGGUAGCCGUAUCGGAAGGUGCGGCUGGAUCACCUCCUUUCUAAGGAA